rnacentral:rRNA from 1 species
GCAAGUCGAGCGCUACCUUCGGGUGGAGCGGCGGACGGGUUAGUAACGCGUGGGAACAUACCCUUCACUGCGGAAUAGCCUCUGGAAACGGAGAGUAAUACCGCAUACGCCCUUUGGGGGAAAGAUUUAUCGGUGAGGGAUUGGCCCGCGUUGGAUUAGGUAGUUGGUGGGGUAAUGGCCUACCAAGCCGACGAUCCAUAGCUGGUUUGAGAGGAUGAUC